rnacentral:rRNA from 1 species
GUAGGGAAUCUUGCGCAAUGGACGAAAGUCUGACGCAGCGACGCCGCGUGAGUGAUGAAGGCCUUAGGGUCGUAAAGCUCUGUUGAAUGGGAAGAAAAAAAUGACGGUACCAUUCGAGGAAGGACCGGCUAACUUCGUGCCAGCAGCCGCGGUAAUACGAGGGGUCCUAGCGUUGUUCGGAAUCAUUGGGCGUAAAGGGUGUGUAGGUGGCCAUGUAAGUCAGGUGUGAAAGCCCCGGGCUCAACCCGGGAAGUGCACUUGAUACUGCGUGGCUUGAGUACCGAAGAGGGUAGUGGAAUUCCAGGUGUAGUGGUGAAAUACGUAGAUAUCUGGAGGAACACCGGUGGCGAAGGCGGCUACCUGGUCGAGUACUGACACUGAGACACGAAAGCAUGGGGAUCAAACAGGAUUAGAAACCCCUGUAGUCC